CUGGCGGCGUGCCUAAUACAUGCAAGUCGAACGGCUUUUCUAUGGAAGCUUGCUUCCACUGAGAAGAUAGUGGCGAACGGGUGAGUAACACGUGGGUAACCUGCCCAUAAGAGGGGGGAUAACAUCCGGAAACGGGUGCUAAUACCGCAUAGUUUUCUUGAUCGCAUGAUUGAGAAAGGAAAGACGGCCUUUGUGCUGUCGCUUAUGGAUGGACCCGCGGCGUAUUAGUUAGUUGGUGAGGUAACGGCUCACCAAGACGAUGAUACGUAGCCGACCUGAGAGGGUGAUCGGCCACAUUGGGACUGAGACACGGCCCAAACUCCUACGGGAGGCAGCAGUAGGGAAUCUUCCGCAAUGGACGAAAGUCUGACGGAGCAACGCCGCGUGAGUGAAGAAAGGUUUUCGGAUCGUAAAACUCUGUUGUCAGAGAAGAACAAGUUGGAGAGUAACUGCUCCAGCCUUGACGGUAUCUGACCAGAAAGCCACGGCUAACUACGUGCCAGCAGCGGC
rnacentral:rRNA from 1 species